UUUAAGUGCAACCAUAAGUUUUCGUAUCUAACUUGAAUCAUCCGUAUUAUUUGAAAAUAUUAUUAUGAUUAGUAUUUUUAUUAUUAUUAGAUGAUAAAACAGAAUAGUACUUUAUUCGUUACUUAUGUUUUUUAAUUUUUUUCAAAAAAAAAUAGAUAAGACGGACGAUCAAAGUUGAACACGAAAAAGUCAUAACUGCGUUUAAA
rfam:Oryza punctata chromosome 11, whole genome shotgun sequence.